rnacentral:rRNA from 1 species
ACGGGAAGAAGAACCAAACAGGGAUUGCCCUAGUAACGGCGAGUGAAGCGGCAACAGCUCAAAUUUGAAAUCUGGCUCUUUUAGAGUCCGAGUUGUAAUUUGCAGAGGGCGCUUUGGCUUUGGCAGCGGUCCAAGUUCCUUGGAACAGGACGUCACAGAGGGUGAGAAUCCCGUACGUGGUCGCUGGCUAUUGCCGUGUAAAGCCCCUUCGACGAGUCGAGUUGUUUGGGAAUGCAGCUCUAAAUGGGAGGUACAUUUCUUCUAAAGCUAAAUAUUGGCCAGAGACCGAUAGCGCACAAGUAGAGUGAUCGAAAGAUGAAAAGCACUUUGGAAAGAGAGUCAAACAGCACGUGAAAUUGUUGAAAGGGAAGCGCUUGCAGCCAGACUUGCUUACAGUUGCUCAUCCGGGUUUCUACCCGGUGCACUCUUCUGUAGGCAGGCCAGCAUCAGUUUGGGCGGUAGGAUAAAGGUCUCUGUCACGUACCUCCUUUCGGGGAGGCCUUAUAGGGGAGACGACAUACUACCAGCCUGGACUGAGGUCCGCGCAUCUGCUAGGAUGCUGGCGUAAUGGCUGUAAGCGGCCCGUCUUGAAACACGGACCAAGGAGUCUAACAUCUAUGCGAGUGUUUGGGUGUCAAGCCCGAGCGCGUAAUGAAAGUGAACGGAGGUGGGAACCCGCAAGGGUGCACCAUCGACCGAUCCUGAUGUCUUCGGAAGGAUUUGAGUAAGAGCAUGGCUGUUGGGACCCGAAAGAUGGUGAACUAUGCUUGAAUAGGGUGAAGCCAGAGGAAACUCUGGUGGAGGCUCGCAGCGGUUCUGACGUGCAAAUCGAUCGUCAAAUUUGGGCAUAGGGGCGAAAGACUAAUCGAACUAUCUAGUAGCUGGUUCCUGCCGAGUUCCUCUCCGCGGAGAGAGAGAAAAAC